rnacentral:sRNA from 1 species
CCUUCAUCUUCCUGUCUUUAAGCUCUCCAAACUGUUCUAGCCUCUGCUCAUUACCCAGUUCUACAGAGCAUGUCUGUAGUCACUGUUCUUACACUUUGUCUACUGAUUCCCUGAUGUCAGCUUUGAGUCUCCUCUGGUUUGGGGCCGUGUUUUCCUGCCCCUUUGUGUGUGUGGGAAUCAUUUACUGGAUACCAGGUGGAGUUUGUAGUUGAUGCCGUUGGGUGAUAGGUCUGCUUACACACCUUCGAGGCCUGGUGGCCUUUGUUCUGAGUUUGAGAAGUGGCUUAGACUCUGUGGGACCUUCCCCAGGCAUUGUCAGGGUAAGCCCAGAGUCACCCUGGGGAGGGUGAAGCUGGUCCCCUGGCUGGUGGGGCUCAGGUGACCACAGACCUGUGUGCAGGCUCUUGGCAUGUCUGGUGCACGGUUCAGGAGUGGGCCAGGAGCUUGUCCUUUCCACCUCUCAGCUGGACGUGCUGGGUCCCCGAUAUCUGUGGCCUGGAACCUGCUCCACAGUGAGCUGGGUGGGUACCAGGGUCUGCCGGCCUCUUGCACCCUCCAUCCAGCUGUCUGGCCUUUGUGUGUUGAGGACAGGAGCCCACACCAGGCCCAUCCUGGGUUGUGGCUACAUCCCUCCGUGGUGUCUGUGCAUGACAUGAUGUGGUCUGUGUGUUGCUGGGUCUUGUCUGAUGCUUUGCUGGGUCUUGUCUGAUGCUUUGCUUGAGCAAAGGACCCUAGGUGUCUGCCUUCCCUUCGCUCACUGCUAAGGGUAAUGUCUGUCCUUCAGGCCUGUCCACCUGUCUGCUGUGAGCUCGUCCACUCAGCUUCCAGAGCAAUUAUUGUCCUGAGCGGAGAGGCCUGUCUGGAUGGGCAGUGCGCUCCUGCGCUUAGGGUGGAUGGGCUGGCCGAGCUCAGCCGACAUGGGGACAUGUCCUGUUUACAUAGGGAAGGUGAAGAAGGAGCUGGACCCUGACGACAGCCAUUUGAACUUGGAUGAGACGACCAAGCUCCUGCAGGACCUGCACGAAGCACAGGCGGAGCGCGGUGGCUCUCGGCCGUCGUCCAACCUCAGCUCCCUGUCCAACGCCUCCGAGAGGGACCAGCACCACCUGGGAAGCCCUUCUCGCCUGAGUGUCGGGGAGCAGCCAGACGUCACCCACGACCCCUAUGAGUUUCUUCAGUCUCCAGAGCCUGCGGCCUCCGCCAAGACCUAGCUCUAGACCACCUUCAGCUCUUUUAUUUUAUUUUUUAAGUUUUAUUUUGCACAUGUAGAGUUUUUGUCAUCAGACAAGGACUUUGAUCCUGUCCCCUUUGGCAUGCGGGAAGCAGCCCCGGGGAGGUAAUGAAUUGUCUGUGGUAUCAUGUCAGCAGAGUCUCCAAGCCCCAUGAACCCUGAGGAGUGGAGUCAUACGCGAAGGCCGUGUGGCCAGGCCGCAGAGCUGCGUGCUGUCUGUGUCCGAGCAUCACGUGUGGCUCCAGCCCUUGUUUCUGCCAGUGUAGACACCUCUGUCUGCCCCACUGUCCUGGGGUCGCUCUUGGGAGGCACAGGCAUGGGUGUGUCUGGCCUCAUUCUGUAUCAGUCCUGCGUGUUCCUGUCAUAGUUUGUGUUUCCCAGGCAGGCCAUGGUAGGGGCCUUGCAGGGGCCAGUGGGGAGCACGGGGCCAGGCUGGGGUGAGGAGAGCUCCCCUGUUUUCUGUUUAAUUGAUGAGCCUGGGAAAGGAGUGUGUUCUGCCUGCCCGUUACAGUGGAGCGUUCCGUGUCCAUAAAACGUUUUCUAACUGGG